ACAAGUCAUGGCUGCACAAGACAGACACAUUUCAUGGGCUGCAGUGAAGCGCAACUGCUCCCGGAUUUCAAAGCUGCUCUCCCUUUCGCAAUUAAUUACACAACAGCUCUGGAUUGCAGAAGCGGUCAGCCAAGACAACUGAUGGCACCAGGACUGCACUUCGCCUAAAUAUUUGCCGGAGGGCCACGCUUUCAGACACACAGGAGCAGCGAGCUUUUCUGGCCAGUACCUGAAAAAAACUGGGCUGUCAGAGCUGAAAGCGUCAGAGUGAUUCAUAAUUAUGUCAGUGGUACCAGAACAACAAAUUUUGCGGAAAAUUUUAAGGAUUCUGCACAGAAAUUGCAUCCCCUCUCAAUGCAUCUCUUUCCA